GACGAACGCUGGCGGCGUGCUUAACACAUGCAAGUCGAACGGAAAGGCCCUGCUUUUGUGGGUUGCUCGAGUGGCGAACGGGUGAGUAACACGUGAGUAACCUGCCCUUGACUUUGGGAUAACUUCAGGAAACUGGGGCUAAUACCUGAUAGGAGCUCCUGCUGCAUGGUGGGGGUUGGAAAGUUUCGGCGGUUGGGGAUGGACUCGCGGCUUAUCAGCUUGUUGGUGGGGUAGUGGCUUACCAAGGCUUUGACGGGUAGCCGGCCUGAGAGGGUGACCGGCCACAUUGGGACUGAGAUACGGCCCAGACUCCUACGGGAGGCAGCAGUGGGGAAUAUUGCACAAUGGGCGGAAGCCUGAUGCAGCAACGCCGCGUGCGGGAUGACGGCCUUCGGGUUGUAAACCGCUUUAGCCUGUGACGAAGCGGGAGUGACGGUAAUGGGUAAAGAAGCACCGGCUAACUACGUG
rnacentral:rRNA from 1 species